UCAAAUCCUAAUUUCAAUCUCAAGAUGGACGUUUAUUAUUAGCCUCAAACAUCAAUUCAUGAUCGUAGAAUCCAAACUAUUCAUAGAAAUAUUACUCAUGUUUUUUUUCUUCUAUAAAAGGUCAAAAAACAUGAAUUUUUAGCAAUAUGCGCUUUAACAAAGUGCUUAACAACUAUUUUGGAUAUUUUACUAGUCAUAUCAAAU
rnacentral:lncRNA from 1 species